rnacentral:rRNA from 1 species
CCCUUAGAUGUUCUGGGCAGCACGCGCGCUACAAUGGUCUUCGCAAACGGAUGCAUUCUCGAAGGAGAAUGCCAAUCUUGGAAUCUAUGCCUUGGUCGGGACAGUUGCUUGCAAUUUUUCGACUCGAACCAGGAAUUCCUUGUAAUCGUGAUUCAUCACAUCACGAUGAAUACGUCCCUGCCCUUUGUACACACCGCCCGUCGCUCCUACCGAUCGAAGAGUUAGGUGAAUUGUUUUGAUCGAUAAGAUUUGUCUAUGGUCAACUCUCGUUGUGAAAUUCUGUGAAUCUGACUGUUUAGAGGAAGGAAAAGUCGUAACA